rnacentral:rRNA from 1 species
UACCAGCACCCCGAGUGGUCGGGACGUUUUAUUGGGCCUAAAGCAUCCGUAGCCGGUUCUACAAGUCUUCCGUUAAAUCCACGUGCUUAACAGAUGGGCUGCGGAAGAUACUAUGGAGCUAGGAGGCGGGGAGAGGCAAGCGGUACUCGAUGGGUAGGGGUAAAAUCCGUUGAUCCAUUGAAGACCACCAGUGGCGAAGGCGGCUUGCCAGAACGCGCUCGACGGUGAGGGAUGAAAGCUGGGGGAGCAAACCGGG